rnacentral:lncRNA from 1 species
GAGCCGGAAGCCUGCGCAGGGGACAGAGGCCUCCGGCGCCCCCCAGCAACAGCAGGGUGGUGCCAUAUUGGUCCUGAGCCAGGCCUAGCCACCGGUGACGGCGGGACUCUCUGGGAGGCCGGCGGUCCUCGGGUGUAGAGGGAGACAGCUGCCCGGGGGCACGGGCGAGCACCUCUGGGGGUCCCGGAUCCUAGACCCGCGGCCCCGGGGUGGCGGUGACGCCUGGAGUCGUGCGGGCUUGGCUGGGCCGGGCUCUUGGGGCAGCCAGGUGCCGCUGCUGGCGUCUAGGCCACACCACCCUGAACGCGCCGGCUCGCCUCUGAUCUGUUGAAGCUAAGCAGGGUCGGGACUGUUUAGUACUUGGAUGGGAUUCCGCCUGGUAAUAGCGGUACCGUAGGCUUUUGGCUUCCCGCUCCCUCCCUCUUUCCUCCUUUUGUCUCCGUGCUUCCCAACUGCCCCCCGCCUCUGCUCCCGGUUGACCGCCCCCGCGCCCCAGCAGAAGCCCAGGUCCUCCUCCUGAAGAUCCGCCACUGCAGCACCGCCAGGCAGCAGCAUCCCACCUCUUCCGACUCGCGGCAGCCCCACCCAACCCGGGCGGGACGGGACCAACCCCGAGGGUGCAGGCGCGGGUUCCCUGAGGUCCCGGGUGUCUUCACGCUCCCCGGACUCCCAGGCAAUUGUAUUCAUUCAUUCAGCGUCACUGCAACCGUCCAAGCCGGUGGAAGGGGCGAGCAGGGGCAGCGGGUGCCACAGACCCCAGCCAAGACCUCCGCUCCAGAACCCGAGGGCUGCUUUCCCCAGAGGAAGGACAUUUUCUUCGCCAGCCACGAGGAAAACCGUCCCUGUGCACCCUGUUUCCCAAUGCCACCGACUUCGUGUAAACUCCAGUCCGGAGGACAGGAGAGAGACCCAGGCCUCGCCCCGUGGACAGGCUCGGCGCCACGGCUCCCGCCAGACACAGGAGCACACUCUACAAAUCUCGGGGCCCAUCGCAUCAAGGAGACAGAAAGAAGCAAACGAAGGACCUUAUGAAACACACCCCCAAAGCAACCAACCAAUCCAAGAAAAAAAAACACGUCUCAGGGCUCCAUUGGUUUUCCUGGCUGGGGGGCCCUGACCCCCUGUUCUAGCCCGGCCCAAGAACCCUGCACCCCACCCCGGCCUGCUGAAAGGUGCCCUGUCUACCUGAGCAGAGCCUCCCUCUCCAAGGCUCUGUCGCUGUCGCUCCACAACUCCCUCACCCUCUCCCUUUCUCUACUUCCCCCUCCACCUCGUGCUCUACUGUGGUGCUCUCUCUUCCCCCCUCUCUCUCUCCUCCCCCCUUUUCUAUCUCUCUCUCUCUCUCUAUCGCUGUCUCUCUCUCUCCCUCUGGUUCUAUUUCUCCAUCCCUCUCUCCUUUGCUUUCCUUCUGUAGCAGGAGGAGCUGCAGACAAAACCCCUCAGACACCGAGUUGUAGAAGGAAGGGCUUUAUUCAGCUGGGAGCAUCAGCAGACUCACGUCUCCAAAAACUGAGCUCUCCUAGUGAGCAAUUCCUGUCCCUCUUAAGGGCUUACAACUCUAAGGGGGUCCGCGUGAGAGGGUCGUGAUGGAUUGAGGAAGCAGAGGGUACGUGACUGGGGGCUGCAUGCACAGACAACGAGAGCGAAACCACAGAGAAAAGAAACAUCCCGUGCAUCACGGCCUGACAAUGGAUUCCUGUUUCCUGUACAAUGUGGAGUCUCCAAUAUAGCCUGUUUGAAAACUGGAAAGGAGAGCACCGACACGAUGCUGGUCUUCCACGCAUUCCUGGAAGUUUCUGGGGCCCCACAGAGCUCGCGAAACAAACAGUCAACAUGGUCACGCUUUCGGGGGGCAGAAACUUGAGCAACAGGCACCUUUACAGAGGGCAAAGAAACGUGGAAUCCAGAAUCACGCUUCAGUUGGCCUGGGUGUGACUCCUGUGUGGAUGGGACUAUCUGCCUCGAGCUCUGUUGCAGGGCUCAACGUGGGGAUAUGUCAUCUGUGAACCAUGUGGAUGAAAAACAGACAACUACCUGAGUCUCGGCUCAUUGCUCUCUGGGGAAUUCGCUCAUUCCUUCGGAAACGGAAUUGGUCUGAAUUGCUCCGGGAUGAAGUAACCCAGGCUGGUGAUCCAGAGGGCCGCUGAGCGCCCCGCCGGCCAACGGGGCUGUGGGCCCAGCACUCAGCCUGUACUGGGCACCCAACAUAUUCCCGGAGUUCUGGGUCCUGUUGGUUCUGGAGGCAUAAGACAUUUUUUGUCUCUGCCUUCUGUUCUCUGUUUCUUGCUCCUUUUGUCUCUCCGUCCAUCCUUCCAUCUGUUCUACCCUCCCUCCCCUGGCUUUUUCCUCCCUUUCUCCCUCCCUCCCUCUUUCUCUCCCUUCCGGGGUCCCUCCUUCCACCCAUCCUUGCCUAGCUCCAUCCUUCCAUCUCACUCUGUCUCUGUUCCUGUCCUCAUCUCUGCCUGCCUUCCCUCUUGCCUGGAAAGGGCAGCACCCUGGUUUGCGCGAGGUCUCGGGUCUUUAUUUAGUUGUAAGGCGCUCUAUGGUGCUGGCGAGGAGGCUGGCGGGACACGGGUUGGCAAGUGAUGGUGAGCGAAGAGGCGGAGGAGUUGAGCCACAGAAAGGAGAACUGGCCUGGAUUCUGCCCCGGCCCAGUGUUUCGCGGACUGAGGUCUCCGCCAACCCGAUUGAAGAACGCGGGGGGGAAAGGGAGGAGAGCUCCGCCUGGGCUAGUUAGAAGACUAGGCUGCUGCCUGGAAACCCGCGCAUGCGCAGUAGACAGCCCACCUCCCUGUACCUGGACCGGCCCUGGGAUCCCCGGGAUGCUCAGGAAUGCUUUCUUUUCAUUGUUGACAGCCCUACUCUGUGUGGAGUCUCUCGCUGGACCUGGAACUCAGGGAUCCUAGGGAGGUCAGCUGGAAGGGAAGACACGCCUCUCCAUACCAAGCCUGAGGUUCACUGCAAAAGAGAGGCCGCCGCCCUGCCCCCACCCUGCCCCCACCCUGCCCCAAACCCGCCCCAACCUGCUCCUCCAGCAGAGCCCUGUGUUCUUCCUGUCUGAGGAGUGGUUCCAGCAAAGCGGGCUCUUCCACGUCCUUCAGCUCCCCCAGUGGCGCCGGAUCUAGGAAAGGUUGUGCCUUUUGCUGAAACUCUGGGGUUGACAGGAGCUCAUCUAACAGGCUGGAGGGAAGCACUGUCCUACAUCAUAUGUGACGGGCUCUCAUAGUCACCAUCAUCACGGGAAUCUUCUGCAUGUUACAGGGAAGCACUGUCCUACAUCGUAUGUGACAGGCUCUCAUAGUCACCAUCAUCACGGGAAUCUUGCGCAUGUUUCAGAGGAAGCAGUGGGGCCCUACAUCAUAUGUGACAGGCUCUCAUAGUCACCAUCAUCACGGGAAUCUUGUGCAUGUUACAGAGGAAGCACUGUCCUACGUCAUAUGUGAAAGGCUCAUAGUCACCAUCAUCAUGGGAAUCUUGCGCAUGUUACAGGGAAGCACUGUUCUACAUCGUAUGUGACAGGCUUUCAUAGUCACCGUCAUCACAGGAAUCUUGCACAUGUUACAGGGAAGCACUGGGGUCCUACAUCAUAUGUGACAGGCUCUCAUAGUCACCAUCACCAUGGGAAGCUGCAUUUAGAGCAUUUUAACUAUAUGGGCUCUGAAAUCAGAUGACCUAGGUUUAGACUUCCUUCUACUUCUUACUAAGCAGAGAACUCUGGGGUGAAAACUUUACGAGGCCCAGUUUUAUCAUGUGCAAAUUGGAGGUAUAGGGAAAUUAUAGCAUUUUGCAUGGAAUAUUGUUUUAAGUAUAAAAUGAAAUAGUACAUAGGAAGCUUCUGCCAUACCUUAACUACACAACAAAUAUUAGUUAAUAUUAACUCAUUUAAUCCUAAGAAGAGGUCUAUAAAUUUGUACACAAUAAUUUUUUGUGGCUACUCAAAUUUUCAUAAUUAAUCUAGAUUUAAAAUCAAGGAAUAUUCUUACUUGUAGUUGGCAAUCAAUAUGACAUGCCAAAAUUAUAUGUAAGUAUUUUAUUGUUGGUGAGGAUAUAAGAAAUUUACCAUCAAAAGAGAGACGAUAAUCUAUGCUUGCAGACUCCGGAAAGCUGCCUCUCACAUAAGAAUUUGCAAUUUCUGGGGGAAAAGAAAAAGUUGAUUGUGCAAAUAAACAUUACCAUGGAGUCUUCUCUAUGGCAACAUCAAAAAUGAAAGCUAAUUCUCAUCUUCCUAACAAUCUGCAAAGACGAGUGAAACACAACCUACUGAGCAUCAAGUUAAAGAAGGAGAGAAAUUUGAGUGGCACAGGAGGAAAUCAUGUCACCGCUAGCGAAAUCAAUAUGACGAGUGCUCCUCUGUCCUCCUCCGAGGCUAAGGAUGGGUUAAAUAUCAGUGGCUGACCUCAGGUAAUGGAAUGAGCAAAAAAGCUAUAAAAAUGCAUGCAUUACGUAAUUAAGAGGGUGGGAAGGGAUUUUUUUUAAAAAGGCAAUUCCUACUUGGGUUCCUUCCUGUUCACCCCAUUGGCAAAGAAGCUAGUCUUGCCCUAGAAUUCUGGGAAUGGCUGCAGACAAAACAAACACUGAGCAGACGAAAUUCCCAGUAAUUUAAACAAAACUCAUGAUAUCCUUGUGUACAAGAUGGAAGAAGAGUGGACCAGAUGACAAUAUUUAGAUGGAGUCAUUCUUAACCCCCGUUGCUCUCCCAGUGAUCUAGCUGGGGUUUGUAUAAAGUGGAAUGGGAGGAAUAGGGAAGAAGCCCCCACCUACCCUCUCCCCUUGUCCACUUGUCCUCCUUCACUAGUGGAUAAAGUCCACGGGAACAGGCAAGUUAUUUUAAAUCUGUAUCUUCUGUUGUCAAGAUCUGUAAUCAGUUCUGCUCGCUGGACUGGGGACAGGAACCAAGGGAACAUGAGGGUGAACGGGUUGACAUGGAGUCCAGGAACACACUGUGCCUACAUGCAGAAUGUUUGUGCCAGGAAAGCCAGUCAGCAGGCAGAUGGUCUCAGAUACCAAGCUAGUGUUGGGAAGCAAGAUUCAGUCUCUUGAAGGCGGUGUUCCUCAUUCUGUGGUUUGUAUCACUUGCUUCAGAAUGACCUGGAGUACUUGUUAAAAUGCAAAUUUUGAGCCCAAUCCUAGACCUCCUAAGCCUACAUCUCUACGGAUGGGUCUCAGUAGUCGAUAUUGGAAACGUGCGGGUCCCUAGGAGAUGCUUAUGCAUAUAGAUUUGAACUGUUGUGUUUAAGGGUUAGGGAGCUGGCAAAAGCAAGGAAUAGACCAAGCCCUCGGGUGGGAAGGCUCCAUAACCUUGGCACUGUUAGCAUUCUGGGCGGAACAGGAUUCUGCCACAUGCUUCGCAGCAUCCCUAGCCUCUACUCUCUAACACCGUAUUCCAGUUGUGAAAACAAAAAUGUCCCGUGGGAGGCAAAAUAGUCACCAGUUGGGAACUGGAACCACUGCUUUGUGAGAUCAGAGUGGUUACUUUGUUCCCAAUCCAGGGAUCAGAACACACGAUGAGAGAAAGUCCAGCUAUUGGAACUGGAGUGCCAAGUUGGAGCUAGACCUACAACAAAAGCUCCAAAAGCUCCUUUAUAGAGCUUGAUCCCAUGCCUCAGCUACCUAGCUUGUACAGAUGCCAUGUAACUCUAGAUUUGGUGACAGAAGGAAUUUAAAGGCCAGAACUAGACAGGGUCUUUCAGGUUAGGCCAGCACACAACUUGGACUUUUGACAUCAUCCAGAUGCUUGAACCAACCUCAGUUCUGAGGCAGAAUUUCCCGUGGCAUCUGAUACACAGCCUGGAUUUGGAGCACUCACUGGGAUUAGAUGCCACGGGAAUAUUGUGUUUAGGAACUCUGAAAGAGACAGGCUUCAACAAAGCAGACCUAAGCAACACGUAGCAUCUGAACUUCUUUAUCAGCUUCCAUUCCAGCCCAUGAGGACAAAAGCAUCACAUACAUAUCCACUGUGGCAAACCUGUCCUCAGUAGGGAGUUUCCCCAGUACUACUCUCCCCUCUGUUCUGAGCCUACUUGCUCCUUUGUAAUGUUUCCACUUUCUGUCCCACUCCCUAAUAGAUGAUUUGUCCUCUCUGCCCAGCCCCCUAGUUCUGAUAUUUGGAUUGUCUGUGAUUUGGGUAGUACUUAGGAGGUAGAAUCAAAGCCUUGUUGAUUGGAUUUGGAAUUUCCCACUUCCUAUUAAAGGCACUGAUUAAGCAUCUAUUGUAUAAAGUAAAGUAAGAUUAUGAUCCAGUAAGAAAGAUUCCGCAAGUAGCGCAGGAAGAAUUGGUUUCUAGUACUUCAUGCUUCAGCACCGGAAAUCCAGAAAAAAAUUCUGUGGUACAUUAAGUGUUUACUGUAAGUUUCAUUUCCAUGUGAAAAACUGUAGUUAGCUAAAAAGUACAUCCGUGAAGAAUCCUGAUUAAACUUGUUUAAUCCUGGUUAAACUAGCUACUAGCUAAACAAUAAGUUCACAACAACUCAAGAACUCCGUAAAAGCAUUUCCUCUGAAUAUUUUAUUCAGAAAAAAACACAAAAAGAUAAGGCAGAAACAAAAAUCCCAGUCAUUUGCAGUAUCUGUCGGCUUUCAAUUUGGUUCUCUUGUUUAAAUAAAGAAAAAUAGUAAAAUUAAUCUAUGUAAAACAUGUCAUAUAUAUUCAAUUGCUACUAAAUAUAAAAAGCUUUAAAACUGUGUGUUCAAUUUUGGUUAGUGUAUUACCACAACACUUAUAUUAAAAUAUGUAUACUUUUAAAUUUGGUUUCUAUAAAAAAUGGAUUCUAAUCUUAUAAAAGUUAUUUCCUAAUAUUCAAUAAAUGUUGCCUAAGGGCUUUUUCAAUCCAAAUAGCAAUUUUAAUUAUUCUGGAAUUUAAGGGUGCUCUAAAUUUCCAUUUAACAGGGUGAGAAUGCUGUAUUAUUACAAGUGAAAAAAGUUACAGGACAUAAAGCGUAUUCCAUUUUAGACUCCACAUCCUGAUUAUAUUUUAUAUCCUCUUCUUGAUUUCUUACAACUAGAUACAUACUCAUUUGCUCAGCUGGAAAAAAUUCUUAACGUUAUUUACUGACUUUAGGUAUGAACUCUACCAGCUGGUUAACAGGAAAUAUGUAAUUAAACAUUGCCUUUAUCAAGUAAUGUAAAAAAAGGGUAAGAGUAACUUUCCAACAUAGGACUUGAAUGAGCGGCUGGUGAUUAUCAAAAUCUGGCACUUAAUUGAUUUAUACUUGUAGACUCACAGCUAAAUGUCUCUACCUGUUUUUCUAUGUUGUAAAUCUAGGACAUCACUUAUGUACAUAGGAAUAGUAAUAAAUAUUAAUAAUGUGCUAUGAUAAACAUCCUGCACUCUUCCAAAUCUUACAAUAAAACUGCUUCAAUUUCACUUGUUUAGCUUUUAUACUUAGUUUUUUAGUUCAUCUAUGCUUAUUUUAAGGAACCUGAACUACUCUAAUAGAAUCCACAUAAUUUUUAUAUUAGUCAAACUGCUUCUUUCUAACUCUGGUUCUAAUAGUUAUAAAAAGAUAAUGAUAAAUUUAUGAAGUAGAUACAGUCAAACCUGAAUUUCUUAAAGUAUAUGCUUAGAAUCGGUUAUAAUUUUUAGAUAUUCUUUCUUGACAGUCUUUUCCCAAACUCAUGAUGUCCUCUCUAGGUAAUAUUGCCACAUUCAUAAAUUAGAAAUAAAGGCAAAAAUGUGAAAACUACAGUAAUUUAAGAGAAUGUAGGUUUUCUAUAUGCCAUUUCUAUUGGCUACUGAAAAUAGUGGAAAUAAGUAAAUAAAUAGCUACCUGUCCAGAAGCAUCUCAUGCAAAAAUCCAUCUUUCUGCAUCUUUUUAAGAAUUUUACUGCUUCUUUACUUAUUUUAAGUUUGUGGUCUUGGAAGCUCUGAAAUUUCUUUCUGCAAAGAAAAUGCCUUCAUUGAAAAAUACCUCAAACUCUGAUUAUACAUAUUUACUAUUAAAUUUAUAAAUACUGUUAAUUUCUUUUUCACUUAUUAAAAAAGUCUAAUUGUAGGCCAGGCGCAGUGGCUCAUGCCUGCAAUCCCAGCACUUUGGGAGGUCAAGGCAGGCAGAUCACUCGAGGUCAGGAGUUCGAGAACAGCCUGGCCAACAUGGUGAAACCCCGUCUCUACUAAAAAUACAAAAAUUAGCCGAGCGUAGUGGCGCGUGCCUGUAGUCCCAGCUACUGAGGAGGCUGAGGCAGGAGAAUCACAUGAACCUGGGAGGCAGAGGUUGCGAUGAGCCGAGAUCGUGGCACUGCACUCCAGUCUGGGGGACAGAGCGAGACUCCGUCUUGGGGGAGAAAAAAAAAAGUCUAAUUACAUUUUUUUAAAUAAGCUGGAGCUUUUGAACAACAAAGAUAACCUUCGUGACCUCUCAAGAGGAGGGCCACUCAUUGACUGGGUAGCAGAAGGCCCCACUUCUAUUAGGGCAUGCUGGCUGGAGUCCCCUGUGUCCUGGUCAUAGCACAGCCUUUGACUGGCAUCACGCCCAUUCUAUGAAUGAAUAGAGAGAUUGACUAACCUGAGUGACUAGCUUUGGGAGCUGUUAGGAUGAUUAGGAAAAAUGAACCCUCAAGAAAAGAAAAGCAUUUAGCUCAGUGCUCUGUCCUAGAGGCUACGUUGUGUUGCCUCUUCUUGUCCAUCAGUUUUCAUUUUUUCAGACAGGGUCUUGCUCUGUCACCCAGGCUGGAAUGCAGUGGUGAUCAGAGCUCACUGCAGCCUUGAACUCCUGGGCUCAA